rnacentral:rRNA from 1 species
UACGUAGGGUCCGAGCGUUGUCCGGAGUUACUGGGCGUAAAGCGUGCGCAGGCGGCUUUGCAAGACAGAUGUGAAAUCCCCGGGCUUAACCUGGGAACUGCAUUUGUGACUGCAUAGCUGGAGUACGGCAGAGGGGGAUGGAAUUCCGCGUGUAGCAGUGAAAUGCGUAGAUAUGCGGAGGAACACCGAUGGCGAAGGCAGUUCCCUGGGCCUGUACUGACGCUCAUGCACGAAAGCGUGGGGAGCAAACAGG